UCGGAACGUGUCCUGUUGUGGGGGAGUAACUGAUCGAAAGAUCAGCUAAUACCGCAUGAGACCUGAGGGUGAAAGCGGGGGAGUCGCAAGACCUCGCGCGACAGGAGCGGCCGAUGUCUGAUUAGCUAGUUGGUGAGAUAAAAGCUUACCAAGGCGACGAUCAGUAGCUGGUCUGAGAGGAUGAUCAGCCACAUUGGGACUGAGACACGGCCCAGACUCCUACGGGAGGCAGCAUGC
rnacentral:rRNA from 1 species